CCGAGUUAGGGUCCUCUGGGCCCGAUCUCCAACCCAUUGUUUAAUCGACCUUUGUUGCUUUGGCAGGCCCGUCUUCGGACCGCCGGGGGUCUCUGACCUCGGGCCCGUGCCUGCCAGUAGCCCCCCAUAAUUCUUCUUUUAACGAUGAAGUCUGAAUAUUCAAAUUAAAUUGAAACA
rnacentral:misc_RNA from 1 species